rnacentral:sRNA from 1 species
CCCUAGCCCAGAUAAAAACGGAAACCCCGCAAAUUUUUGAUCUAUUUUUUCUUUUUAUUUGGGCAGCGACCUUAGAAGCUGACCGAAUAAAAUUAGAAAAAAAGAGCUAAAAUUGUGGAGUUGUAGUGGAUAGCUGGAAAAAGC